UACGGGGGGGGGCAAGCGUUGUUCGGAAUUACUGGGCGUAAAGGGCUCGUAGGCGGCCAACUAAGUCAGACGUGAAAUCCCCAGGCUCAACCCGGGAACUGCGUCCGAUACUGGCAGGCUUGAAUCCGGGAGAGGGAUGCGGAAUUCCAGGUGUAGCGGUGAAAUGCGUAGAUAUCUGGAGGAACACCGGUGGCGAAGGCGGCAUCCUGGACCGGCAUUGACGCUGAGACGCGAAAGCGUGGGGAGCAAACAGG
rnacentral:rRNA from 1 species